rnacentral:rRNA from 1 species
UACGGAGGAUGCGAGCGUUAUCCGGAUUUACUGGGUUUAAAGGGUGCGUAGGCGGAUUUUUAAGUCAGCGGUAAAAUGUCCGGGCUCAACCCGGGCCGGCCGUUGAAACUGGGGAUCUUGAGUGGGCGGGAAGUAUGCGGAAUGCGUGGUGUAGCGGUGAAAUGCAUAGAUAUCACGCAGAACUCCGAUUGCGAAGGCAGCAUACCGGCGCCCGACUGACGCUGAGGCACGAAAGCGUGGGGAUCGAACAGG